rnacentral:rRNA from 1 species
AUUGAACGCUGGCGGCAGGCCUAACACAUGCAAGUCGAACGGUAACAGGAAGCAGCUUGCUGCUUUGCUGACGAGUGGCGGACGGGUGAGUAAUGUCUGGGAAACUGCCCGAUGGAGGGGGAUAACUACUGGAAACGGUAGCUAAUACCGCAUAACGUCGCAAGACCAAAGAGGGGGACCUUAUGGCCUCUUGCCAUCGGAUGUGCCCAGAUGGGAUUAGCUAGUAGGUGGGGUAACGGCUCACCUAGGCGACGAUCCCUAGCUGGUCUGAGAGGAUGACCAGCCACACUGGAACUGAGACACGGUCCAGACUCCUACGGGAGGCAGCAGUGGGGAAUAUUGCACAAUGGGCGCAAGCCUGAUGCAGCCAUGCCGCGUGUAUGAAGAAGGCCUUCGGGUUGUAAAGUACUUUCAGCGGGGAGGAAGGGAGUAAAGUUAAUACCUUUGCUCAUUGACGUUACCCGCAGAAGAAGCACCGGCUAACUCCGUG